rnacentral:rRNA from 1 species
AGAGCGAACGCUGGCGGCGUGCUUAACACAUGCAAGUCGAACGCGCAGCAUUCUGUAGCAAUACAGGGUGUGGACGCGUGGCGAACGGGUGCGUAACACGUGGAUAACCUUCCUUCAGGUGGGGAAUAACCCAGUGAAAAUUGGGCUAAUACCGCAUAACAAAACGAUGAGACAUCUUGUUGUUUUCAAAGGCGCAAGUCGCCAGAAGAGGGAUCCGCGGCCGAUUAGCUUGUUGGCGAGGUAAUGGCUCACCAAGGCAAUGAUCUGUA